AACGCGUAGGUAAUCUAUCCUUACAUUUGGGAUAACAUUGGGAAACUGGUGCUAAUACCGAAUGGUCUUCUUUGCUGCGGGGCGAAGGAGUAAAGGUGGCCUCUUCAUGAAAGCUACCGUGUAGGGAUGAGCCUGCGUACCAUUAGCUAGUAGGUGGGGUAACGGCCCACCUAGGCUACGAUGGUUAGCGGGUCUGAGAGGAUGAUCCGCCACACUGGAACUGAAACACGGACCAG
rnacentral:rRNA from 1 species